UGAGUACUUAAAAACAUUACAUGGUGAUGAAGGGUUUCCAAAAGUGUGUGAGUAUAUAAAGAGAAUCGAAGAGGUCUCUGCCCACAAAAAUUUAGAAGCCUUCACAUUUUCCAGUUGGGUCAAAUUUGGUUUCAAUGAAGUUGAUUUUGGGUGGGGGAAUCCAAUUUGGAGCGGCAUUUUUGGAGAAGUCGGUUCUAAUUCUUUCCGAAAUUUGACAUUUUUUAAGGAAACAAGAAGUGCUAAUUAUGAUAAUGCAGUGGAGGCAUGGGUGACAUUAGAUGAAAAAAUAAUGUCUGUAUUGGAGCAUGAUCCUCAGUUUUUGGCCUUUGCUUCGCCGAAUCCGAGCAUAUUAUUGUUUGAUGUUUGUGGAUUCUGAAAGUUUUUUUGUUCGUGAUGAAUGACACUGGCUAGCUAGCGAGUGGCUACUACUAAGCAAUUGAUGGUGGUGAUAGAUUUUGAAGAUGGCAAGUAGCUGAGUUAUUCGAAAUGCAUGCAUGUACUGCGACAAAAUAAAGGUUGAUAUUGUAAAAAUAAAUGAAUAAAUAAAUAAAUAAAUAAAUAAAAGCGAUAAUAUAUAACCUCCGGAUCCCUGUUUUUUUUUUUUUUUUUUUUUUUAUUGAUUUUACAAGUUACGGCAUAAAUUUAUGUAUUUGUUUUCCAGCCAACAGAUGCACUAAAAAAAGAAAAGAAAAAAAAAACAUGAAUUUUGAUGGAUAAAUUCUCAAGUCUCAACUAUAUGAUGGGUACUUGCAUCAUUUUCAUAGGUUUUACUAAAAGAAACAAUUAGUUUGAACUGGCACGAAAGUAGCAGGCCGAUAAAAAGCAUAUAUAACUAAGUCAGCCCCCAAGAUUGUGGUCGGUGGUUUCAACCAUAUGAUGGGUACUUGGAUCAUAUUCAUAGGUAAUAGUAGUAUUAAUCAAUCAAAUUUUUAUUACUAUUCUAUGGGCAUCUGUCUUACCAAUCACAUUCCAAAUUACUGAAGAUGGAUAGUGUUUUCAACUGAUUUUGGGGUAGGAAAAUCCAAAAUCAAUCUUCAACAAUGAAUUUAUAUUUUUGGGGGAGAUGGGGUACCUCACUAGUUUAUUGUGUGCGGUGCGGUGUAUCUGAAAUGCGGGGAGGUGAGAAAGGGAGAGAGAGUGGUAACAAUGGUGGAAGAUCAGAAACAAGAGAGGUAUCCUUCAAAAUGAGCUUCACGCCUGCAAAACAAUGAAAUAGAGGUUAGAGGUGAAGCCAGGGGUACCCCGGCGUUCACACUCCGACGCUCAAGUUAGCAAACUCAAGCUUUUAUUGCAAAGAGAGCUAGCUAGCCCUCUGUAAAUUAGGGUUUAAGGUUGAAGAAAACCUUUUUUUUUUUGGAGUGUGAGUGUUUUUGGGCGAAUGAGAGCAUGAUGGAGAAUGAAACCUAGGCGCCUUUAUAUAUGGAGUACCUUAGCUGCCACGUGGCAUACCCUUUUUGGCUAACGUCCUUUUACCGCUUUUAUGAUUCUUGGGGCCGUUAUGUGCAUGUUCGCGGCGUAUCUCAUCUUUUGGAAACGUGGCGUGCGCUGGAGAGUGGUCCAGGGUACCUCUGCAGUAGCUGUCGGGUAGGCGGCUAGGGACCACUGUCCUUGGGACAGUGUCCUUCACUUUUGGCAGAGGUAGCAGACGGCUGUCCCUCCUUUUAGCACGUCGCUUUUGAUUCUUAAUUCUGACAAAAUCAAAUGAUAUCUUUUAGGAGGCGGAGACGUUUCUCAUGGCGGAUAUUUUCGGUGGAUUCUCUUGCAUCCGCUUUGCCGGGUACCUCGAAUUACAUGGGGUACCCCCUAUUACGCAGGGUACCCCUAUCUGUAUGGGAUACCUCUAUUUGUAUGGGGUACCUCUAUUUGUGUGGGAUACCUCUAAUUGUGCAGGGUACCUCUAUUUAUACGGGGUACCUCAAGUCAUGUCGGGCACCUCGGAUUAUGUAGGGUACCUCCGAUUGUGCUGAUAUCAUUCCAUUGGCUGACACGUGGCGCUCUAUUACCUUUCCCAUCUUUCCCUCAAACAGAUAGAAUAAAUUAAUCAAAGGAAAAUGAUAAUUAGCGGGCGGGACUAUAUUUACAUGAUGAAAUAUGCAUUGCACACCUUUCCACGCACUCAUUUGAUAAAUUAAAAAUAUAUACUAGUACUCCACGCACAAAUAGGCCCGUCUGAUAUUAAAAUUAAAAUUUAAUAAAUUACUUAUUUCAUAAUUUUAACGAAAAUAGUGUUGGUUAAAUUUUGUAAAAUUAAACUACUUAAUAAUUUUUAUUAUAAUCUUAAAAGCAGGUAGGGAGUUGCUUUUCAUAAGCAGUUUAUUAAAUAAGUUACCACACAUUUUUUAAAUUUCUACUAUAAUCUUCAUAUUUUAAAAAAUUAUGUCUUAUUUUUUCAUGCACCCUAAUAUAUUAGUUAUUAGAUAUCAUAUUACUACCACAGUUAAAGUACCUCUACAACUAUUGUAAUACUAUUUAACAAUAAAAACUAAACUAGAAGAUAAGAAAAAUAAAUAUUCUCAUAGGAAUUCUUAUUUUUCUAUCUUUAUAACAUAGCUAAUUUAUAAAUAUUGAUCUUUAAAUUGGGAAUACAAGUCCUUAAAAUUAGGAAUGAUACCAAAUGGGGUAGGGUAGGAAGGCCUUCACCAUACAAGUGGUCAAAAUCUAAAGCCCUGAAUCUAAAAAUUGAACCGAACUAGUGACCGAUUAUAAUAUUUUAGAAAAUCGAUUAGUUUAAUUAAAAAAUUAAAAUAAAAAAUGAAAGAACGAAUCGAACCGAAAUCGAAUCCAAUUCUGUUUGGUUCAAUUUAUACUUUUUGAUAAGUUAAUUCAGUUUAUGUCAAUUCCACAAAAGCUAAACCAAAUUGAAUCGUGCCCCACCCUUACUUCAUCAUCUCAUAACCUAAUUCCUAUUUAAACCCCAUUAGAGGUCCGUCCUACUAGCAGUGAACCCACUUGCAUGUCUAAGGACUAAGGUCACCCCAAAUUUUAAAUAAUUUUUAAAAUGUUAUUUUAGAAUUGGGUGAAAUGUAAAUACAUAGAGAAAUUACCAACAUCGACAUUGCAAUAUUUUGAGAACACGUGUAUAUGUAUGACAAGUAAUCUAAUCUAUUAAGGAUGCGUUUGGCACACUGCAUUGUAUUAUGCUGUAUUGCAUUAUUUUAAUGCUGAUGUAUUGUAUUAUGCUGUAUUGCAUUAGCACUGUAUUAUAAUAAUGUUGUACAAUGUUUGGUGCUACACUGUAUUGUAUUUUUUUUAAUUAAUUUAAAUUAAAUAUUAUAUUAUAUUAAUGUUUUAUAUUAUAUUAAUAUAUUUAAAUUGCAUUAAUAUUUUAUGUUAUCAAAAAAAAAAACAAACAAACAAACAAAGCUAAUGCGUCAACUAACGCAUUAGCCCCCCACCCCAAUCCCUUGCAAUUUUGUUCCAAACAUGGGUUUGGUAUUAUUUUAAUAUGAACAGUGUAAUAAUACACCAUAAUCACAUGCACCAAACACACCCUAAAGGGAUGAUGGUUUCCUCACAAGAAUAAAUGGCAGGAGAUUUUGGAAAGGUGAAAGAAUCGUAAAAUUUCCUUUUAACAUAUAAUUGAAUUAGAUGAUAUAAGAUAUCAAUUACUUUAUAUAUAUUUUCAUAUAUUUUAAGAUUUGAAUCAUAUUUAUGUUUUUUUUUUAUUGCAAUAUUUUUUUAAAAAAAAUUUGGAGUUCAAAUUUGUCCUACCAAUUAACCCUCAACCAAAAAUCCGAACUCAUAAAUACAUAUCGACCUCGCCAAACAAAAGUUUUUAUUCUGAUUGCUCACUAAAACCCCUCUCUUAAUUUGUACAUUACAAAAUGGAACUUGGUAUUGUCUCAAGAGAAGUUGUGAGGCCAUCUUCACCCCAUGUCCAUCUUUUAAAACCAUUCAAAAUUUCCUCUUUUAGAUCAACUCACUCCCACAACUUUUACUUCACUCGUCCUCUUUUACCGCAUGAGAAAUACGCAUCUAAUGGUUAUCCCAAUCUCAACUCGACUCAGAGAGUCAUUCUCAAAAACCCUAGUCCAUGUUCACCCUUUUGCAUGGAAGAUUGAGAGACAAUCUCAUCAUCAACGAUUAAGAUGAGGGAGUUCCAUAUAUAUAUUGAAGCCCCAGUGAACACUCAUUGGUUUGAGUUUCUUCAAAAUCCUCCAAUGGAACUAUUGAACCAAUGAGCUAUUUCAACUAUUAAAGUAAAAAAAAAAAAAUAUUAAAAUUAAAAUUUGAAAAAUUGAAUCGAACUGGAGCAGAGUCCAAUUUGUUUGGUUCGAUUUAUAUUCUUUGAUAAGUUAAUUAAGUUCAUGUCGAUUCCGCAAAAGCUAAACCGAACUGAAUCGUGCCCCACCCUUACUUCAUCAUCUCAUAAACUAGUUCCUAUUAAACCCCAUUAGAGGUCAGUCAUGCCAGCGGCCACUAUAAGAAAAGUAGUCGUUUUCGACUAUAGUUAAAUAUGGUUGCUAAUAGGGCAAUUUUCAACAGUAAAAAUUAAGAUAGCUACAAAAAAUAAAACAGUCACAUAGUUUUUCUAAUGAAAAGAACACUGUUGAAAAUAACUUCAAAGUCGGUUGAUAAUAAGUUUAUUUUAGAGAGAAAUUUUAGUGCCAUUGGCAUUUAUAACCACUAUAAGAGUAUAAGUAACACAUUGGGAAUGUAUAAUUAAUUCCUACUGUUUCAAAAACAUAGUAAAAAAUAAAAUAAUAAUUUCAAUUAUUAUUUUGAAUUAUUAUUAGAGGUCAGUCAUGUAUUAUUAUGAAUAAUUCAUAGUGGCCGCUGGCAUGGCUUAAUUAUGAAUUAUUAAAACUAAUACAGCUUCAUAGUUUUGGUGUCAAUAUCUAUUUUUAUCUUUUGUUUACCUUACUAAUCUGUCAUUUAAAUUUAAAAGCCAUGUUAAAGAUGUUUAAUCAAUCAAUUUAGGCUAGAGAGUGAUUAAACAAUCUAGUAAUUAAUCACAUAAUUGAUAUGAUAUAUAAUUGUUCAAUUAUAACAAAAUGUCAAUUUACAUUAAUAUGAUAAGAAGUUUCGUUUUGCAAUUAAUCAAAUCAUAUGCGCUAACAAUUUUCAAUAUUUAUCUAUAUAAAAUAAGUAAUGUAGGAUAAGUAAAUUAAUUGAUUUUUUUAAUUUGAAUAUCUUUUAUUAUCUCUAGUAAUUGUUUGGUUCGUUUAAUUGCUAUAUAUAAUGCCACCUAACUAAAGAUUUUGGUACAAAUGAUAUGUUUACGCUAACUCACGUUCUCCAUUCUCUUUAACAAAUUUCUCAAUCAGCUACUGAAUCCUAUCACUUAAUAGAAUAAAAAAAAAUAUUAAAUAAAUAAAUAAAAGCCACCGAUAUUAAGCGCAAUGGAUGAAUUCAUUACCUCUUCUUUUGUAUUAUCCAUCUCUCCAAAGCUUUCAACUCCCUUUUUGGGAUUGGGACAUUUUCUUAAUUCUUUUAAAUUAAUUUUUAUAAAAUUUGGGGAGAUGUUUUUAAAUAUUUAUUAUUUUUUUUUCAAUCACUUUUAAUUUAUUAAGUUUGACAUCAAUUAUUGUUGGCUUCAACCUUACAAGGCUGGUUUGAAGCUUUUUCUGUCAGAUUGUUCGGUGAGAAUUAUUUGAUUAAUUGUGGCUUGCAGGUAAGAAUUUUUAUUAUUAUUUUUGUUCAUGUUUUUAAUUUAUUAGAUUUUAAUUCACAAUUUAUUAUAUAACAAGCGAAAAAGAGACGUCAAUUAGGAUAGAUUAAUUUUCUUGUUUAGUAUAUCGGCUUUCUGCUUUAAUUUAAUUGUAUUUUUUUUUAUUGAUAUGCGGGAAUCAAGAGCUUAGAAAGAAAAAAAAACUAUGAUAUUCAGCUUUCACAAGGAUUCAGUUGUUCAAUCCACAUUGAUUCUAUCUUUUAUCAACACCAAAAUAUCAUUAUCCUAGUGUGGUGUAACUCUGGGUGUAUUAUAUUUUAUUUAAGUAUUUGUCAGUGAUUCAUUGAUUGAUCCAUGUUGAUUUUAUCUUUUAGCCACACUAAAUCAUUGUAGUGGUGUCCUAUUGCUUUUGGUAUAUCAUUGGUAUUUGUAUAAAGUGCACAUGUAUUUGUUGAAAUUAUUUGUAAAAGAAUAUUAAUUUGUCAUUGAUUCAUUGAUUACUAAGUCAUUCUAUUAGUUGCACAUGUAUUUGUUGAAAUUAUCUAUAAAAGAAUAUUUGUCAUUAAUUCAUUGAUUACUAAGUCAUUGUGGUAGCACUGUGUAGCUUUUGGUGUAUUAUUUUGUAUUUGUUUAAGCUGCACAUGCAUUUGUUGAAAUUAUUUGUAAAAUAAUAUUUGUCAUUGAUUCAUUGGUUAUUAAGUCUUAGUAGUAGCUGCACAUGUAUUUGUUGAAAUUAUUUAUAAAAGAAUUAAUAUUUGUCGUUGAUUCAUUGAUUAUUAAGUCAUUGUAGUAGAAUUGUGUAACUUUUGGUGUAUUAUUUGUAUUUGUUUAAGCUGCACAUGUAUUUAUUGAAAUUAUUUGUGAAAGAAUAUUUGUCAUUGAUUCAUUCAUUACUAAGUCAUUGUAGUUGCAUUGUGUAGCUUUUGGUGAAUUAUUUGUAUUUGUUUAAGCUGCACAUGCAUUUGUUGAAAUUAUUUGUAAAAUAAUAUUUGUCAUUGAUUCAUUGGUUAUUAAGUCUUAGUAGUAGCUGCACAUGUAUUUGUUGAAAUUAUUUAUAAAAGAAUUAAUAUUUGUCGUUGAUUCAUUGAUUAUUAAGUCAUUGUAGUAGAAUUGUGUAACUUUUGGUGUAUUAUUUGUAUUUGUUUAAGCUGCACAUGUAUUUAUUGAAAUUAUUUGUGAAAGAAUAUUUGUCAUUGAUUCAUUCAUUACUAAGUCAUUGUAGUUGCAUUGUGUAGCUUUUGGUGAAUUAUUUGUAUUUGUUUAAGCUGCACAUGCAUUUGUUGAAAUUAUUUGUAAAAUAAUAUUUAUCAUUGAUUAUUAAGUCAUUGUAGUAGCACAUGUAUUUGUUGAAAAUAUUUAUAAAAGAAUAUUUGACCAUUGAUUCAUUGACUUUUUUUUUCUUAGAAGCUAUUAAAAAAUCAGCUUUAACUAUAUAUUUGUCUAUUAGUUCAUUAUUUUUUUGAGACAAUUAAUAAAAUGAUCAUUUUAACUACGAAGUCGAAUAAAAUGAAUUUCAACAAUCAUCAUUUUAGAAAUACUAAAAUUCAAUUAGAAAUAUAAUUUAUUCCAACUAAUACGACAUAUUUUCGAUUGCAUAAUCAAUUAGAACUAAUAUUUUUUCUAUUGUAAUUUAUUUUUUUUCGAUUGUGUUUGCCCCUGAAAAAUAGUGUAUUUUAACGAUAAUUAAUUAGUUGAAAUUGAUAUUGCAAAUACAACCACUAGAGAAAAUCGAAAACGAUAAAGUGGUUAUAAAUAUCAGUCGUUAGUCGCAUGUUCAUAUUAAUUUUCAAUCUAUAUUUAUAUAUUUAUUAUGGUUAAUUUCGCUCGAAAUAAGCAUAUUUACGACUGCUGUUUGAAAAAAGUAUAUUUUUAACCUGGGUAUUAGCGACUGCCAGCGAUUGUCUGUGGCCAUUGUAAAAAUACAUUUUUCAACAGCAUGACACUUAUUUCAACAGCAGUCAUAAAAAAACAUGCUUUUCUUGUAAUGGGCGGAACCACAUGCAUGUCUAAGGACUAAGGCCACCCCAAAUUUUAAAUAACUUUUAAAAUGUCAUUUUGGAAUGGGGUGAGAUGUAAAUACGUUGAGAAAUUACCAAUAUCGACUAUACAAUAUUUUGAGAACACAUGUACACGUAUGACUAUUUAAUUUAAUCUAUUAAAUGGAUAUGAUUUCCUCACAAAAUUAAAUGGUGGAUGAUUUUGGAGAGAUGAAAGAAUCGUAAAAUUCCCUUUUAAUGUAUAAUUGAGUUACAUGAUAUAAGAUAUCAAUUAUUUUAUAUAUUUUUUCAUAUAUUUUAACAUUCAAUAUAUUUAUGUUAUUUUGGUUGCAAUAUUUUUAUUUUUAUUUUUGGAGUUUAAAUUGUUGGAUCUUUAAUCUAGCAUUAUUGGAUUAUUAAUCCAACGUUGAACUUAAUCUAGUAUAAGGGUCAGUCUAAUGAAAAGUGAUCUAUUAAGAUUUUCGGUAAUAUAGACUUUAAUGUAUCUGAUAUGGUGUGAGACUUUAAUGUGUAGAGACUUACGGGUAAUUUUUAUUCUUAUGAUGAGCUAAAAUAAAAAUAACUAAAGACAACAAGAAAAAUGAUCUAUAUAAGUGGUCAUGGUCUCCAGGUGUCACGUAUAAUUCCAUUCUUUCUGACAUCCCAUCAUCAGAGAGAGAGUAUAGAAAAAUUUAAAGAAUUCUAUAGGAGAACAUAUUCAUCUGAAAGAUAAACCACAUAACUCUAGAGAGCAAUUAUUCAUUAUGGAUUCAUGUACACUUCCACAUAUUUUGUUAUUGAUUCGUGAACCUUUAAUGUGUGGAGACUUACAGGUAAUUUUUAUUCUUAUGAUGAGCUAAAAUAAAAAUAACUAAAGACAACAAGAAAAAUGAUCUAUAUAAGUGGUCAUGGUCUCCAGGUGUCACGUAUAAUUCCAUUCUUUCUGACAUCCCAUCAUCAGAGAGAGAGUAUAGAAAAAUUUAAAGAAUUCUAUAGGAGAACAUAUUCAUCUGAAAGAUAAACCACAUAACUCUAGAGAGCAAUUAUUCAUUAUGGAUUCAUGUACACUUCCACAUAUUUUGUUAUUGAUUCGUGAACCUUUAAUGUGUGGAGACUUACAGGUAAUUUUUAUUCUUAUGAUGAGCUAAAAUAAAAAUAACUAAAGACAACAAGAAAAAUGAUCUAUAUAAGUGGUCCCAUUUAUUGUUAUUAUUGAAGCAAAGAAGACUCAAACACAGGUACUUUUCUAUUUAUAUGUGUACACUAAAACCUCUCUCAUAAUUUGUACGUUACCAACAUGGAAAUUGGCAUUGUCUCAAGAGAAGUUGUGAGGCCAUCUUCACUCCAUGUUCAUCUUUUAAAACCAUUCAAAAUUUCUCUUUUAGAUCAACUCACUCCCACAACUUUUGCUCCACUCGUCCUCUUUUACCCCACAUGAAAAGUACACAUCUAAAGGGUACCCAAAUCUCAACUCAGCUCAAGGAGUCACUCUCAAAAACCCUAGAACACUUUUACCCUUUGGCCGGAAGAGUGAGAGACAAUCUCAUAAUCAACGAUUAUGAUGAGGGAGUUCUAUACAUUGAAACCCGAGUGAACACUCACUUGUUUGAGUUUCUUCAAAACCGUCCAAUGGAACUACUGAACCAAUGUCUCCCAUACCCUCCAUUUAGUCACCAACCAAAUCCACAUCAAGUUCCCCAAGUAGCUGUGCAAUUGAACACAUUUGAUUGUGGUGGCAUAGCACUUGGCUUGUGCUUCUCACAUAAGAUCAUUGAUGGUGGCAGGCACAGCAAGUGCUUUCCUCAGAAGUUGGGCUGCAAAUACUCGUGGAGGUUACCAUAAAGCAGUGAAGUACGAAAACUUAUCUCAGGCAUCAAUGAUUUUCCCUCCUCAAAACCCUUCGCCGAAUCAUCAGUUAUCCGUAAUGGAAAAGAAUUGGUUCAGAGAAGCCAAGUACAAGACAAGAAGAUUCGUGUUUGACGCGAAGGCCAUAGCAACCCUAAGGUCUGAAUGCAAAGGCGAACGUGUCCCUAAUCCAACGCGCACUGAAGCAUUGUCAGCAUUCAUACUGAAGUCGACCAUGCUAGCUUUAAGACCGACAGCAAGUUCACGAUUUGUAUUGCAUCAAGCGGUGAACCUUCGAAGACUAACAGAACCAAGGUUAUCGACCUGUUCUGUUGGGAACCUGUUUCUGUGGGCAACCGCAGCUUAUGACAUGGAGCAUGCAGCGGAAAUGGGGCUGCAUGGAUUGGUGGCACGUAUGAGGCAAGGUGUGGGGAAAAUCAAUAGUGAGUACUUGAAAACAUUACAUGGUGAUGAAGGGUUUCCAAAAGUGUGUGAGUAUAUAAAGAGAAUGGAAGAGGUUUCUGCCCACGAAAAUUUAGAAGCCUUGAAAUUUUCCAGUUGGGUCAAAUUUGGUUUAAAUGAAGUUGAUUUUGGAUGGGGGAAUCCAAUUUGGAGCGGCAUUUUUGGAGAAGUUGGCUCUAAUUCUUUCCAAAAUUUGACAUUUUUUAAGGAAACAGGAAGUGUUAUUUAUGAUAAUGCAGUGGAGGCAUGGGUGACGUUAGAUGAAAAAAUAAUGUCUGUAUUGGAGCAUGAUCCUCAGUUUUUGGCCUUGGCUUCGCCUAAUCCGAGCAUUAUUGUUUGACGUUUGUCGAUUCUGAAUUUUUUAUGUUCCUGAUGAAUCAUGAUGGAUGAUA
rnacentral:lncRNA from 1 species